AAAUAGAUUAAAAUAAUUAAAGGCACACAAAGGAUGCCUUGGUAUUAAGAGCCGAUGAAGGACGUGGUAAGCUGCGAUAAGCCUAGAUAAGUUGCAAUCGAACGUAAGAGUCUAGGAUUUCCGAAUGGAGCAAUCUAUUAAGAUGGAGUCUUAAUACGAAAGAGGGAACCGCGUGAACUGAAACAUCUAAGUAACGCGAGGAAAAGAAAGUAAAAACGAUACCCGAAGUAGCGGCGAGCGAAACGGGUCAAGCCUAAACCUUAAAUAUGUCAAGGAUACAGCCGUUGUAUUUAAGGGGUUGAGGGACAGAGUGAUGAAGAACUGUAAGAUAUUCAAUAUAGUGUAUUGAUGAACUAGAGUAGUCUGGAAAGGUUAACCGUAGAAGGUGAAAUUCCUGUAUAGGUAAAUCCUUACACAUAUAACUUUGAUCCCAAGUAACAUGGAACACGAGGAAUUCUGUGUGUAUCAGUGAGGACCAUAUCUCAUAAGGCUAAAUACUCUUACUAACCGAUAGCGCAUAGUACCGUGAGGUAAAGGUGAAAAGAACCCCUGGAGGGGAGUGAAAUAGAACCUGAAAUUGUGUGCUUACAAGCGGUCAGAGCCAGUAAUGGUGAUGGCGUGCCUUUUGGAGAAUGAUCCUGCGAGUUACGUUAAACGGCGAGGUUAAGUAUUACGGAGCCGAAGGGAAACCAAGUCUUAAUAGGGCGAUUUAGUCGUUUGGCGUAGACGCGAAACCUGGUGAUCUAAACCUGUCCAGGAUGAAGCUGUGGUAAGACACAGUGGAGGUCCUAACCCACCGCCGUUGAAAAGUUGGGGGAUGAGGUAGGUUUAGGGGUGAAAAGCCAAUCGAACCAGGAGAUAGCUCGUUCUCUCCGAAAUGCAUCUAGGUGCAGCCUUGAGUGUUCAAUUAUGGGGGUAGAGCACUGAAUGAUCUAGGGGGCAUAUUGCUUACUGAAAUCAAUCAAACUCCGAAUACCAUGAUUUAUAGCUCAGGAGUGAGACUAUGGGAGUUAACUUCCAUUGUCAAAAGGGAAACAACCCAGACCACCAGCUAAGGUCCCUAAUUAUAACUAAGUGGGAAAGGAGGUGGAGAUUCACAAACAACUAGGAGGUUGGCUUAGAAGCAGCCAUACCUUUAAAGAGUGCGUAAUAGCUCACUAGUCGAGAGUCUCUGCGCCGACAAUGUAACGGGGCUAAGUUAUAAACCGAAGCUGUGGAAUCCGUAAGGAUUGGUAGGAGAGCGUUCUGUAGGCCGUUGAAGGAGAAGGGUAACCGACUUUGGAGGUAUCAGAAGUGAGAAUGCAGGAAUAAGUAGCGAGAAAGGGGGCGAGAAUCCCCCUCGCCGGAAGACCAAGGUUUUCAGGGUAAAGCUUGUCUUCCCUGAGUAAGCCGGGACCUAAGCCCAGGCUAUAAUGCGUAGGCGAAUGGAAAACAGAUUAAUAUUUCUGUGCCAGUCAUAUAUUGUGAUGGAGGGACGCAGAAGGGUAUGUGCGCGGACGAACGGAAGUGUCCGUAGAAGUAUGUAGGAUGACUUAGUAGGAAAAUCCAUUAAGUUAUAUCUGAGGUAUGAUAUAUAGUCGUAAGAUGAAUGCGCAAAUCCCACGCUGCCAAGAAAAGCUUCUAACGUUAAUUUAUGACUGCCCGUACUGCAAACCGACACAGGUGGUCAGGAUGAGAAAUCUAAGGCGGACAGGCUAACUCUCGUUAAGGAACUCUGCAAAAUAACCUCGUAACUUCGGGAGAAGAGGAGCCCUUGGGUGUUAGUAUCCAUGCGAUACAAAGCGCUCGAGGGUCGCAGUGAAGAGGCUCAAGCAACUGUUUAACAAAAACACAGGUCUAUGCUAAGCUGGAAGGCGAUGUAUAUGGGCUGACACCUGCCCAGUGCUGGAAGGUUAAGAGGAGGAGUGAGAGCUCCGAAUUGAAGCCCCAGUGAACGGCGGCCGUAACUAUAACGGUCCUAAGGUAGCGAAAUUCCUUGUCGGGUAAGUUCCGACCUGCACGAAUGGUGUAAUGAUUUGAGCGCUGUCUUGACGGGAGGCCUGGUGAAAUUGUAUUACCGGUGAAGAUACCGGUUACCUACAGUAGGACGGAAAGACCCCAUGGAGCUUUACUGUAGCUUGGUAUUGGGUUUUGGCAUUGCAUGUAUAGGAUAGUUGGGAGACUGAGAUGAUAUGGCGCUAGCUGUAUCGGAGUCAUCGGUGGAAUACCAACCAUUCAAUGCUGAAAUUCUAAUCUGUGGUUUGUAGCCACGGAGACAGUGCUAGGUGGGCAGUUUGACUGGGGCGGUCGCCUCCGAAAGAGUAACGGAGGCGUUCAAAGGUUCUCUCAGGUUGGAUGGAAAUCAACCAUAGAGUGCAAUGGCAUAAGAGAGCUUGACUGCAAGACUGACGGGUCGAGCAGAUGCGAAAGCAGGACAUAGUGAUCCGGCGAUUCCGAAUGGAAGGGUCGUCGCUCAACGGAUAAAAGCUACCCUGGGGAUAACAGGCUGAUCCUACCCGAGAGUCCAUAUCGACGGUAGGGUUUGGCACCUCGAUGUCGGCUCAUCGCAUCCUGGGGCUGGAGAAGGUCCCAAGGGUUGGGCUGUUCGCCCAUUAAAGCGGUACGUGAGCUGGGUUCAGAACGUCGUGAGACAGUUCGGUCCCUAUCCACUGUAGGCGUUAGAAUAUUGAGAAGACCUGUCCUUAGUACGAGAGGACCGGGAUGGACAAACCUCUGAUGUACCAGUUGUCACGCCAGUGGCACAGCUGGGUAGUCACGUUUGGAAUAGAUAACCGCUGAAAGCAUCUAAGCGGGAAACUAACUUCAAGAUAAGUAUUCUUUAAGAUACCUUCGAGCCUAGGAGGUUGAUAGGUUGGGGGUGUAAGUACAGUAAUGUAUUUAGCUGACCAAUACUAAUUAUCGAAGUUUUAAUCUAAUUUGUUUUUACUAUAUAGUUUC
rnacentral:rRNA from 1 species